AUAACUUUGAAACUCCCGGGGUAAUUCAUGCUUGUGCACUACUGCGCUUGAGCGACAGCCAUUAAAGAUGUCCUGUGCUCCUGUCUCCUUCAGUUUUCAGUAGUUGAAGGUGAAGUUCGUUCAUUGUUUGUUUAUCCUUUAUUUUAUCGCAUCAUCAAGUUGAUGAUAAUUUUUGAUUGCUGAAGGUCUUAAAUUAAGACGAAGGUGGGAAUAGAACUGCAGAUACAUAUAUACUAAAAUCCACCAUGACAGAUGAAUAUGAUGCCAAGGAUUAGAUUUGAAAAAAGUUCUUCUCCUCUCUACAUUUGAUGAAAGCCAUUUUCAGCAAAGGUGGGAAUAGAACUGCAGACGCAUAUACCAAAAUCCACCAUGACAGACGAAUAUGCUGCCAACUACAGUUUUAGAUUUAAAACUCCUUUCUACAUCUGAUGGAAACCAUUUUCAGACCAAGAGUAGAGAGACUACGCCUCAUGAAGCUCAAAUCGAGGACGAUAGCAGUUCAAAGUAAAAAUAUAUAAUUAGUUAUAAAUUGAAAGUUCAAUUUUUGUAAUAUUUAAUAAAAAUCAUUGCAUUUUAUUGAAAA